GAAAUGCGAUAAGUAAUGUGAAUUGCAGAAUUCAGUGAAUCAUCGGAUCUUUGAACGCACAUUGCGCCCGCCAGUAUUCUGGCGGGCAUGCCUGUUCGAGCGUCAUUACAACCCUCAGGCCCCCGGGCCUGGCGUUGGGGAUCGGCGGAAGCCCCCUGCGGGCACAACGCCGUCCCCCAAAUACAGUGGCGGUCCCGCCGCAGCUUCCAUUGCGUAGUAGCUAACACCUCGCAACUGGAGAGCGGCGCGGCCACGCCGUAAAACACCCAACUUCUGAAUGUUGACCUCGAAUCAGGUAGGAAUACCCGCUGAACUUAAGC
rnacentral:misc_RNA from 1 species